rnacentral:rRNA from 1 species
CCUACGGGAGGCAGCAGUGAGGAAUAUUGGUCAAUGGACGCAAGUCUGAACCAGCCAUGCCGCGUGCAGGAAGACGGCUCUAUGAGUUGUAAACUGCUUUUGUACGAGGGUAAACGCAGAUACGCGUAUCUGUCUGCACGUAUCGUACGAAUAAGGAUCGGCUAACUCCGUGCCAGCAGCCGCAGUAAUACGGAGGAUUCAAGCGUUAUCCGGAUUUAUUGGGUUUAAAGGGUGCGUAGGCGGUCGGAUAAGUUAGAGGUGAAAUCCCGAGGCUAAACUUCGGAAUUGCCUCUGAUACUGUUCGGCUAGAGAGUAGUUGGGGUAGGCGGAAUGUAUGGUGUAGCGGUGAAAUGCUUAGAGAUCAUACAGAACACCGAUUGCGAAGGCAGCUUACCAAGCUACUUCUGACGUUGAGGCACGAAAGCGUGGGGAGCAAACAGGAUUAGAUACCCCUGUAGUC